rfam:Parcubacteria bacterium GW2011_GWA2_47_9 TY15_C0010, whole genome shotgun sequence.
GCCCAGGUGUCGGAACUUGGUAGACGAUCUAGCUUGAGGGGCUAGUGCCAGCAAUGGCGUGCGGGUUCGAAUCCCGCCCUGGGCA